rnacentral:ncRNA from 20 species
UAGAAGCGUCGCGACUGGCGAGGCUUCUAGGGCAGGCGUUUCGGCACCGCCCCGAGAAAGCGGGAGGAAACACCCUCCGGGGAGCGCAUUUACACAAUCGGACGCCUGGGUUGUGCCA